rnacentral:rRNA from 1 species
UACGUAGGGGGCUAGCGUUAUCCGGAAUUACUGGGCGUAAAGGGUGCGUAGGUGGUUUCUCAAGUCAGAGGUGAAAGGCUACGGCUCAACCGUAGUAAGCCUUUGAAACUGGGGAACUUGAGUGCAGGAGAGGAGAGUGGAAUUCCUAGUGUAGCGGUGAAAUGCGUAGAUAUUAGGAGGAACACCAGUUGCGAAGGCGGCUCUCUGGACUGUAACUGACACUGAGGCACGAAAGCGUGGGGAGCAAACAGG